UACGUAGGGAGCAAGCGUUGUCCGGAAUCAUUGGGCGUAAAGCGCGCGUAGGUGGCCUCAUAAGUCCGCUGUGAAAGUCAAAGGCUCAACCUUUGAAAGCCGGUGGAUACUGUGAGGCUAGAGUACGGAAGAGGCGAGUGGAAUUCCUGGUGUAGCGGUGAAAUGCGCAGAUAUCAGGAGGAACACCGAUUGCGAAGGCAGCUCGCUGGGACGUUACUGACGCUGAGACGCGAAAGCGUGGGGAGCAAACAGG
rnacentral:rRNA from 1 species